rnacentral:rRNA from 1 species
UACGUAGGGGGCAAGCGUUGUCCGGAAUCAUUGGGCGUAAAGCGCGUGUAGGCGGUUCGAUACGUCUGCUGUGAAAGUCCAGGGCUCAACCCUGGGAUGCCGGUGGAUACUGUCGGGCUAGAGUGCGGAAGAGGCGAGUGGAAUUCCUGGUGUAGCGGUGAAAUGCGCAGAUAUCAGGAGGAACACCAAUUGCGAAGGCAGCUCGCUGGGACGUUACUGACGCUGAGACGCGAAAGCGUGGGGAGCAAACAGG